AGGAUGAACGCUAGCGGCAGGCUUAACACAUGCAAGGUCGAGGGGUAUCGGGAGUAGCAAUACUGCCGGCGACCGGCGCAAGGGUGCGUAACGCGUGAGCAACAUGCCCGUAUCAGGGGGGAUAAUCCAUGGAAACGUGGUCUAAUACCCCAUAGUAAUUAUGUAAGGCAUCUUAUAUAAUUUAAAGUUUUGGUGGAUACGGAUUGGCUCGCGUGACAUUAGCUGGAUGGUAAGGUAACGGCUUACCAUGGCUACGAUGUCUAGGGGUUCUGAGAGGAAGGUCCCCCACACUGGAACUGAGACACGGUCCAGACUCCUACGGGAGGCAGCAGUGAGGAAUAUUGGACAAUGGAUGGAAAUCUGAUCCAGCCAUGCCGCGUGCCAGGAAGACGGCCCUAUGGGUUGUAAACUGCUUUUGUAUGGGAGCAAUAAGGGCUACGUGUAGUCCGACGAGAGUACCAUACGAAUAAGCACCGGCUAACUCCGUGCCAGCAGCCGC
rnacentral:rRNA from 1 species